rnacentral:rRNA from 1 species
UAUUGCUAGUUACCAUCAUUCAGUUGGGGACUCUAGCGAGACUGCCAGUGAUAAACUGGAGGAAAGGUGGGGAUGACGUCAAAUCAUCAUGCCCCUUAUGACCUGGGCUACAAACGUGAUACAAUGGCUGAAACAAAGGGCAGCGAAGCAGUGAUGUGGAGCGAAACCCAAAAAAGCAGUCUCAGUUCGGAUUGAAGUCUGCAACUCGACUUCAUGAAGUCGGAAUCGCUAGUAAUCGCGGAUCAGAACGCCGCGGUGAAUACGUUCUCGGGGUUU